GACUACUUUCGAGAGCUCCCUGUAUC
rnacentral:sRNA from 1 species